rnacentral:tRNA from 1 species
GGGGUCGUAGCUCAGUUGGUAGAGCGCCUGCUUUGCAAGCAGGAGGCCGUCGGUUCGAGUCCGAUCGGCUCCACCA